UACGUAGGGGGCAAGCGUUGUCCGGAUUUAUUGGGCGUAAAGAGCGUGUAGGCGGCCAUGCAGGUCGGCUGUGAAAACUCGAGGCUCAACCUCGAGACGUCGGUUGAAACCGUAUGGCUAGAGUCCGGAAGAGGAGAGUGGAAUUCCCGGUGUAGCGGUGAAAUGCGCAGAUAUCGGGAAGAACACCCGUGGCGAAGGCGGCUCUCUGGGACGGUACUGACGCUGAGACGCGAAAGCGUGGGGAGCGAACAGG
rnacentral:rRNA from 1 species